rnacentral:rRNA from 1 species
CCCUUAGAUGUUCUGGGCCGCACACGCGCUACACUGAAGGAGGCAGCGUGUACUCCUGGAUCGAAAGAUUUGGGUAACCCGCGAAUCUCCUUCGUGCUAGGGAUUGAGGUUUGCAAUUAUCCUUCAUGAACGAGGAAUUCCCAGUAAGUGCAAGUCAUAAGCUUGCGCUGACUACGUCCCUGCCCUCUGUACACACCGCCCGUCGCUACUACCGAUUGAAUGAUUUAGUGAGGACUUCGGACUGGGACCGAUGCGGCUUUCGGGCUGCGUCGGUAUUCUGGAAAGAUGUCCAAACUGUAUCAUUUAGAGGAAGUAAAAGUCGUAACA